rnacentral:lncRNA from 1 species
UUCUAGAAAAUAAGAGAAAGCUUAGUUAAAUGGAUAUCGAUAUAAAUGACAUUUCAAUGACUUUAAUCAAUUAAAGAAAUAACCAUAGUCAAAUUUAAACAUAUGUCAAAUUUCAGCACUAAAUAAAUUAACACCUCAUUUAGGAUUGCAAACCCAAAAUAACUAAAUCAUAACCAACUAAUGACCCUAUAUCUCUGGACGACAUUCAGACUAAACAAUGAACCAUCAAUGAGUAUAAAAAGAGCGGAUAUAUUCCACUAACGAUGAUCAACAAGCAGC